UAAUGGGAAAGUUAGGCAUAUAUAAAUUUAUCAGAUACAGAAAUGAAAAAAUCCUAGAAUGGCAAUUAUCAUCCCUCGGAGAGACUGUAUUAGGAAUAAAAAACCUUCUUCAGGGGUAAAGUCCUGAAGCAGUUCGUUCAGGAGAGCUUCUAUUUGAAAUAUAUGAUCUAUUUUUCAAGUUUACAUAAUGUAUUUCAUAUUAAAUUACAUACAAACUCAUAGAAUGACAAAUAUGUUUACUUGGUGUAUAAAUAUGAGAAUUUAUAGAUAACAACCUGUUCUUGGGGUUUCAGGCACACAUAAAUUUAUCA